GGACCUGAAAGUGAAACCAGCCUCAAGGCUACGCUCCUGGCGGCGGAGAACUCAGGGAAAUCCGGCCAGCUCAGACGAGGAACCUUGAAGAAGUUGAACAUCGGUGGAUCCCAAAAUGAAAAAUCCGGCCCUGGAAAGAAGAGGACCUACUUUGAUAUAGACCCACUGUUUGACCCCCCGGCUUGGAGCCAUGUCACUGCUGAUCCUUAAUCCUGGACUAUCUCUAUCAAAAAUAACCCAAGAAGCACCUUUGCCAACUUGGGGAC
rnacentral:lncRNA from 1 species